UACGUAGGUGGCAAGCGUUGUCCGGAAUUACUGGGCGUAAAGCGCGUGUAGGUGGCAAGGCAAGUCGGGUGUGAAAGCCCUGGGCUCAACCCAGGAAGUGCACUCGAUACUGCCUCGCUAGAGUCCCGGAGAGGUUGGUGGAACUCUCGGUGUAGAGGUGAAAUUCGUAGAUAUCGAGAAGAACACCGGUGGCGAAGGCGGCCAACUGGACGGUGACUGACACUGAGACGCGAAAGCGUGGGGAGCAAACAGG
rnacentral:rRNA from 1 species